AGUAUUUUCAUUUCUGAGUCUCGAAGUUCCGCAUUUGCCGAUGCGAUAUGGUUUGCGGGCAUCUUUAGCCGCGGCGAUUUCAAGACCAUAUGGUCUGCGGGCAUCUUUUGCCGCGGCGAUUUCCAGACCAUAUGGUGUGCGGGCAUUUUUACCACUGACCCUUUCCUGCGCUUUAUCAGCCGAAACAAGGAAACAAUGAUCGAAGACAAUGCUGCAAUGGAAUGGACUGUGGUGGUGGGGAGGAAAAAGAAGAACAAUGCAUCUAGGUACAGAGAACCCCGGAAAAUUGAUACGGGUUCUUCUGACCAAACCCAAUAUUUAUCCAUGGCGGCCUACGCAUUUGAAGCAGGGGGAACUGAACCAGUUGACUCCGAUGAAGAUGACAAAAUAAUGAGUAGAAUGCGUAGUUCUCUGAAGAAGGUAGCUGAGUCGACCUUCUACAAGAAGCUUCUCGAGCAACUUCAGAGCCCUGAAGUGUUGAACAGUGUAAUGAGAGUGGUGGGAAUGGAUUCACAGCUUCAAAUGGUGGUGUAUGGAAUCGGGAGCAUUGGCGAUUCGGAGAGGUCACGCCUGCAAUUGUCUCUCGCACUUUUAUUGAAGCAGCGUUUCUGUUGGGUGGGUGAGAUAGAGGUGUUUGACCCAAUUGUGACUGCAUCGGAAUAUAGAGUUAUAAAGUCUCUAGGGUGCACUUUCGCCGAAAUCAAUGAGCAGGGGAGGCGAACAGUCAACAGGCCUACUCUGUUUUUCAUGCCUCACUGUGAGGCGUUUCUCUAUGACAAUGUGCUCCAAGUAAAUUGGAGUGCCCUGCUGUUGAACAGAAUUGUUUUCUUUGGCAACAGCUUUAACAGCUAUCUUGAGAACUCAUCUGUGUCUCGGAAUCCUCCUGGAUAUGUUUUGGCCAUUGCAGAGCAUGUCCAUGAGUUUGAAAUCCUGACUGUUUCUAGUGAUUUCUUUCCUGCAUUUAACAACAUGAGUUGGCAUUUCUUUCACUUGGAUCCUUCCUUGGAUCUUAAGACUUUGAAGAUAUAAGAAGAAACCCGCACCAGACCUCAUCCCUUUUACUUUCAGGCAAUUUGGGUGGGGCAGACAUCAAUUGAUAUGAAAUCUUGUUAGGCUGCAUUGUACAAACCAGGGGACUCUUGUACUGUUGUAUUCUUGUAAGAGAUCGGACUCUUGGUCAUGUCCAAAAGGAAUUACUUAAGAAUCCGAUUUGGUUGGCUCUAUGUUUAUAUAAUGACAUGGAUAUUUCUUCGAGCGAGCUUUCCACAUACUAAGAUGAGGAUUAGAAGCAUGACACACAUCUAUGGCCUUAAAUACAAUGUUCUUUGUUAGGAAGGUUUGAAUACAAUGUUAUUUGAAAUUUUCUCAUGUCUUAAAAUUUUCCCUAUUUUUUAGUAGCUGUCCCCUGUGCCUCCCAAAAAAGCUUUCUUAUAUAUGUUACCCUUCAAGCCCAUCCUAGAAACUUGGGGUAACAUAGAAAAUUUGUCGAAUUGCAUAUCGACUAUGGAAUUUUAGGUUUUGACUAAAAUAUUGACCCAAAAACAGAGUUCCCUUUACUAGAAAAUAUGAUUUGAGCUUCUAAUUGUGAAGUUGUUUAUAUCAUUAAUUCAAUAUGAGAGGUUGCAGACUG